GACAAAAUACUCCGUAACGCUGACGAGACGGUGGCCGAAUGAAGACAAACUGCUUCCACACGAGGGACGUCAGAGAUUGAGCUAAUUUAAACAGAUCUCUGAGUAAAUAGAUCCCUUUUGGAGCUUUCGGCAUUUUCUGUCUCGCUGUUUUAAAGCAGGGGAGAAGACGUGUAAACACUACUUCGGACCGAGUGGAAUCUUUCCUUUGGUUGCUAAACAAAACAAUGCUUCCCACAACCCUCCAAACUUCUACCGGCUGGAUGAUUACUACAGAUUACAUAAUCUACAACAUACAAAAUAGUCCUGGGAUCCAACCCGGAAAAAUUUUCACAAAUCCCCUUACAAUAAAGGUUAAAUAAAAGCAGCAAGCCAAAGCACAAGCCACAAAAGAAAAUAAAUAAAUAAAUAAAGUGGACUACAACAAAAUUAACAACUUUACUGCUGCAAAUAAUACUAUCAAGAAUGGGAAAUGACUGCUGUAUAAGGUUUAUUUGGAAGUGAUGAAAAUAUAAACA